rnacentral:tRNA from 1 species
GAUUUAAAAAAGAUUACUUUAUCAUUGACACCACAAAUCAAUAUUUUUAUUAAACUAUUUAAAU